GAUGAACGCUGGCGGCGUGCCUAAUACAUGCAAGUAGAACGCUGAAGGAAGGAGCUUGCUCUUUCCGGAUGAGUUGCGAACGGGUGAGUAACGCGUAGGUAACCUGCCUGGUAGCGGGGGAUAACUAUUGGAAACGAUAGCUAAUACCGCAUAACAGUAGAUAUUGCAUGAUAUCUGCUUGAAAGGGGCAAUUGCUCCACUACCAGAUGGACCUGCGUUGUAUUAGCUAGUUGGUGAGGUAACGGCUCACCAAGGCGACGAUACAUAGCCGACCUGAGAGGGUGAGCGGCCACACUGGGACUGAGACACGGCCCAGACUCCUACGGGAGGCAGCAGUAGGGAAACUUCGGCAAUGGACGGAAGACUGACCGAGCAACGCCGCGGGAGUGAAGAAGGUUUUCGGAUCGGAAAGCUCUGUUGUAAGAGAAGAACGAGUGUGAGAGUGGAAAGUUCACACUGUGACGGUAUCUUACCAGAAAGGGACGGCUAACUACGUG
rnacentral:rRNA from 1 species